UAGGUCGAAAGAGGCAGUUUUACACAAAAGAAGGCUAAAACGCAAGAAUUGAGAGAAAUCCUAAUUAAAGGAGGAUUCCUAGUUAAAGAAGGCUAAAUUUCUUGUUGGCUAAAACAUUUUCAACAUCACUUCUUCCACCAAAAAUUCAGAAACGUUUGGUCUCUUCUAUUCUCUAAUACGUUUGCCCUUUGUACGCAACGUUUUACUUUCUUACUAAGUUGCUACGUAAUUAAUAUAGGCAAAAGUAUUGGUUCUGUUUCUGCCAACAAUAGUGGCUAGCCCCAAGUACUUUUUGUGUUUGUCAACAAACCCACACCAAGCACCUCAGCUAAAAAUUGACAACCUUGCUAAAGACAAUAUUGCUCUUAUUGAAAUUAACUUGUUGACUAGAAGUUGUUCCAUAUUCAGAUAACACAGAUUGAAUAACAACAUACUUUGAAAUUGAAGCCUUACCAAAUAGUAAGCUAUGAUCAACAAACAAGAGAAGACUAAUAAUUGGAGCACCCUCACAAAUUUUACUCCUUGAACCAAACCAUCAUCAACUUUUUGGUCCAUUUCGAAGCACAGAAAACACCUCCGUACACAAUAAGAAUAGAUAGGGUGCAAGAGGAUCACCUUGCCGAAGGUCUUAGAUGGAAUCAGUGAACCACAAGGCUUACCAGUUUUCAGAAAAGAAUAACGGACAAUGCUCACACAUUGCAUGAUGGUCCGAACCCACCUCGUAUCAAACCCGAGUCCCAACAACACUGCUUCAAGAAAAAUCCACUCCAUACGAUCAUACACCUUACUCAUAUCAAGUUUCAAUGACAUUACACCAUCUAAACCAUCAGAGUAUAUUGAGAAACAUCAUUAGCAAUGAGCGAAUUGUUUGUAUUCAAUAUGCCCGGAAUGAAUCCACUCUAACAAGGACUGAUAAUAUCUGACAAAAAUCUCUUCAAACGGUUAGCUAUAACCUUCGAACAAAUUAUAUAGAAAACAAACUUUAGUGGGAUACAUUUGGAAUAGAGAUAUUGUAAUUAGUAAACUACAGUUUAGUUUUUAAUCAAAUUUCAACUUACAAAUACAUCCUUUACACAAUAGUUUACACAUUUAAGGACAAAUAUUAACAAAUUAGGACAAACUAAUAUCAUCAUGCCAUCUGUUAUUACCUAUUUUACCCAAAUACCCUUCUUCCCCAUCCAUAAAAAUAGCCGAAAAAAUCAAAAAUCUCAGUUCCCAAACCUAACGUGAUCGACCAUCUCUCUUGUUUUCUCUCUUCUCUGUGACGAACAGUGUCGCCGGAGACAUUCGCCGGAGGAAUUUCGUCGUUUUGCUCACCGGAAAGCUCAGGAGAGAGUCGGAUCAAGCGUUGAUCAGUUGUGGAAUUCAAUCGUUUUGUCCAAUCAUCUCUCUUCGUCACCAUCAGUUCUCUUCUGGUUCGUAGAAGCGAUCUAUUCUUCUCUGAGAUAAUCAAAUUUUCAGGUUAGAUUCUGGCUUAUUCGUGUCCUUUUAUGCUUUAAUUUCAUGUUUGAUCGCAAUUUGAUACUUGUGUUUUGUUUUGAUCAUCUAGUUUAUAUGAUCUCUUGUGGAAUUCGUCUAGUUAUUGUUUAAUUUUGGUUCGUUUUGAAUUUUGAACUACUUUUUGGUUGAAAAUCAUAAUCGUAGCAUAGCAGUAGCAGGUUUCUAAUUAUAGGUUAGAACAGUAGCAUAGUAGCAGAGGAAGUAUCAGUAGUUUGUUUUUGUAGUUUUUGACUAUAAAGAACUAGUGGCAUAGUAGCAUAGUAGUAGCAUAGAACUAAUAGCAUAGUAGCAUACUGAAAAGAACUAGUUUAGGCUGAAUUCAUAAUAGAGCAGUAGCAUAACAGAUUUUGCGCUUAUUUAUGUACUAACACAGUAGCAUAACAGUAGCAUACUAGAAAAGAUUAGAACAGUAGCAUAACAGUAGCAUAAUCGUAGCAUAGCAGUAGCAGGUUUCUUAUUAUAGGUUAAAACAGUAGCAUAGUAGCAGAGGAAGUAUCAGUAGUUUGUUUUUGUAGUUUUUGACUAUAAAGAACUAGUGGCAUAGUAGCAUAGUAGUAGCAUAGAACUAAUAGCAUAGUAGCAUAUUGAAAAGAACUAGUUUAGGUUGAAUUCAUAAUAGAGCAGUAGCAUAACAGAUUUUGCGCUUAUGUAUGUACUAACACAGUAGCACAACAGUAGCAUACCAGAUAUGUUUAUUAACACAGUAGCAGAUAUGUUUAUUAACAGUUUUAUAACAGAUAUGUUUCAAUUUUUAUAUUAUGGAUAAAUUGUAGCAUAACAGUAGCAGGUUUUGUGCUUAUGUUAUGUAUUAACACAGUAGCAGAUACAAUAUAUUGGUAGCUUUAUUAACAGAUUUUCU
rnacentral:lncRNA from 1 species